rnacentral:rRNA from 1 species
CCUACGGGGGGCAGCAGUGGGGAAUAUCGCACAAUGGGCGCAAGCCUGAUGCAGCCAUGCCGCGUGUGUGAAGAAGGCCUUCGGGUUGUAAAGCACUUUCAGCGGGGAGGAAGGCGGUGAGGUUAAUAACCUCAUCGAUUGACGUUACCCGCAGAAGAAGCACCGGCUAACUCCGUGCCAGCAGCCGCGGUAAUACGGAGGGUGCAAGCGUUAAUCGGAAUUACUGGGCGUAAAGCGCACGCAGGCGGUCUGUCAAGUCGGAUGUGAAAUCCCCGGGCUCAACCUGGGAACUGCAUUCGAAACUGGCAGGCUAGAGUCGUGUAGAGGGGGGUAGAAUUCCAGGUGUAGCGGUGAAAUGCGUAGAGAUCUGGAGGAAUACCGGUGGCGAAGGCGGCCCCCUGGACAAAGACUGACGCUCAGGUGCGAAAGCGUGGGGAGCAAACAGGAUUAGAUACCCUUGUAGUC